GUCUACGGCCGUGCUACCCUGAACAAGCCCAAUCCCUUCUCAGAAGCUAAGCAGGGGGCGGGGCCUGGUUAGUACUUGGAUAGGAGACCACCUAGGAAGACCAGGUUCUGUAGGUG
rnacentral:rRNA from 1 species